rnacentral:rRNA from 1 species
UCGCGUAGGGAUUUAUCGUUGGGUGGGGGAUAACCGUGGGAAACUGCGGCUAAUACCGCAUGACGCUUGUGGGCCAAAGCCGCUGUGAGGUGGUGCCUGAUGAGGAGCCUGCGUCCGAUUAGCUAGUAGGUUGGGUAAUGGCUGACCUAGGCUGUGAUCGGUAGCUGGUCUGAGAGGAUGAUCAGCCACACUGGGACUGAGACACGGCCCAG